GUAAGUGGUCUUGCUAUGCAAGAACACUUACUAUUAUCUCACAUAUAUAUAUAUAUAUAUUAAGUGUUCUUGCAUAGCAAGACCACUUUCUCUUAUCU